rnacentral:rRNA from 1 species
ACGGAGGAUGCAAGCGUUAUCCGGAUUCAUUGGGUUUAAAGGGUGCGCAGGCGGAUUGGUAAGUCAGUGGUGAAAUUCUAGUGCUUAACAUUAGAGCUGCCAUUGAUACUGUCAGUCUAGAGUAUAGUUGGAGUGGGCGGAAUGUGUCAUGUAGCGGUCAAAUUCUUAUAUAUGACACAGAACACCGAUCGCGAAGGCAGCACACUAAUCUAGAUCUGACGCGCAUGCACGAAAGCGUGGGGAUCAAACAG